UAGGGUUUUUCUCUUGCUGUUUCUUUCGGUGUACAAAGGAUUUCUGGAUCUCCCAGCACUGGUGAUGCUGCCCUGGAGCAGCUUUAGGUGAUGUGGAUCUGAAAGCUCCAUCAGUCACCAAAUUGCUCGGGUUUGUCUUCCCAAAGGCCUUUCCCAGCUGUUUAUGAGGUGGUAAAUUCUCUGGGUUCACCCUGGGCCACUGCCUCCUUGCUCUCAUGUUCCUGCUGUCUGUGGGAAAUGAUUUGAGGCUGGGAGGAUGAGCUGGGGGACAGGUGGCAGCUUUUUUCACUCCUGACACAUUCACAGGGAUGUUCUCCUGGCUCAGGGCGUGCUCUUCCCAGGGAAUGGGAUGCUUCAAAACCAACCUGGUGGCACACGUGCUGCUCCCUCCAGUCUCUGCUUCCCAAAUGUGUCACAUCUCCCAGGAGCAGAGGCACAGCUGGAAGCUCAGGGAAGCCUGGAGCGUUGUUGAAGGCACAGAAACACCUGGCAGGUGUCCCCAGGCCUCCAGAGCUGCGUGUUGGGAUGAAGGUGAGGAUGAGGAUGAGGCUCUGGUGCUCUCCUGGCAGUGCUGCUGCUCCUCUGCAGCCCCUGGUUCUCCCCACACUUGCCCUGACAGAAAUGUGGCAUUUCCAUCAGCUCAAACUCCUCGUCCUUUCCCGGGGUUGGUGCAGUUAGGGCUGAGGGGAGCUCCAGGCAGGAGGAAUUCCUUCAAACCUCUGAUUCCAGGGAUGUGGCUGCCCAGAGAGCCACAGUCAUUCUUCUGAGAGUUGCUGCUAUUUAAUUAAUCAUCUCCAGAUUUUCUGCUUGCUGCUGACUUCAAAGCAGGCACUCUUGAGGUGCAGCCUCCCAAAAUCAUAUUGAAAGCUGGCGUCUUCAUCCCCCAGGAGGAGCACGCAGUCGUGGGCUGUGGGAGAUUUUUCUCAUCCUUUAGAGCUUUUUACCUUUGUCUAAGAUUUUUUUUUUUCUAUGACAUUUUUAAACACUGAGCCUUUGGUCACCCUGCAGAUGGGUGUUUUCUAGACUUUGAGUUUUCUCCAGGUCCCAGUGUGAUCACAGUUGGUUCCCAGAGGGAUUUAUUUCAAGGAUUAUCAAUUCACUGGGUUAUCUUUUGCAGCAGGAAGGGUUUUUCUGAUAGAAGUUCAACCCCUGCCUUCUUUCCCACCAUUCCAAGGUGGAUUUUACUUGUCAAGACCACCGUAAAGCUUUCCAUGGGUAAAAGGAUCACCAAAUCCCGUGGGUUUGCAUUAGGUGUGCUGAGGUUGUCAGUGCUGUGCCUCUUCUCUUCAGCACCACACAACUUCACAGCUCACUUUGGGCACCAGUCAGGUCUUUGCCAGCCCAUGAGGGAGCAGGGAUUUGGCACGGAGUGGGAUUUUAGCCAUGAGCACAGAGGUGCCCCAGCCUGAGGCAGGAGGGACAGGCACUGAGGAAAGCAGGGAUGCAGCAGGACCUUGUCCUGUGCAGAUGGAACACACCUGGUGUGAUCUUCACAAUCAUGGGUGUUUGGGGGGCGUUAUCCUCAAUUCUGGCAUUCUGCUUCCACUGGGGGAGAAUCUCCUCUUUAUUCCUGCUCUGGGCUGUUCUCCCCCAGGACGAGCUGCCUGAGCUUCAGUCACACUGACCUCGAGGCAAAAGCUCCCUCUGUCAGGGAAUUCCUCCUCUGGGAUUGCACUCAACAUCUCCCCUUUCACAGGAAUUGGGGGAGUUCAUCCUCAGUUUUGAGGUCCUGGUUCCACUGGGGGUGAAUCCCCUCUUUAUUCCUGCUCUGGGCUGUUCUCCCCCAGGACGAGCUGCCUGAGCUUGGACCUUCAGGUCACACUCGAGGCAAAAGCUCCCUGUGUCAGGGAAUUCCUCUUCUUGGAUUGCACUUAACAUCUCCCCUUUCACGGGAUCGAGGGCGUGUUUGGGAGCAAACAGCAGCCUGAAAUUUGUUCCAUGCAGGGAAUCUAAAUAUGCUGUUCCCAGCCUGAAAUUUGUUCCAUUCAGGGAAUCUAAAUGUGCUGUUCCCAGCCUGAAAUUUGUUCCUUUCGGGGAUUCCAAAUUCCCAGCGACGACUCGGUGACAGAGUUUGAUCCAUUGUUAAUAGGUCAGCGGCUGUAAAUGGACCUUUCCUGUUGUUUUGACAUCUGUCUUCGCUUUUUCCCCAACAGAAGAGGCACAAAUGUUUCUUCAUUAGACCCCUGAUUGACAGCUUGCUGAAAGGAAACCCCUGGUAGCCGCUUUCCCUUUCAUUCCUCUGCUCAAACCUCAGGUUCUCGCCGUUCUUUCACCCCGACCAGCAGAGCUCCCCUCGCCGCUGAGCUAAAUCCUCUUUCAUCUUUAUCCCUUGGCUUCUGCAGCGAGGAGGAUGCUGUGAUGCUGCUGAGAUGCAGCGAGGAACUCUGCUCCAGGAUUUAGCUCUGCCCAGAGCGCCGGGGAUGCUGCGGAGAGGUUGCCAGAGAGGCGGAUACCAGCCUGCAUCCAGCUUUUUGCUGCAUCCCUGCUGCCGAGCGAGAUACGGAUCAUCCCUGCGAUUAUUCCUGCCUGUCCCUGGGCAGGGAGGGGACUCUGGAGGUGCUGCUGCGCCAGGGAGGUGUCGAUGGGCACCGGACCCUGCGGGCGCCGUGGAUUUUUCAGUUCUGGAGCCGACGCUCCCCUCACGGUGAGGUCUCUGUGGCGCAAUGGACGAGCGCGCUGGACUUCUAAUCCAGAGGUUCCGGGUUCGAGUCCCGGCAGAGAUGAUCUCCAGGCAGGUGUCUCUUUUCUUUUAGUGCCAUUCCCCUCAGAGAUGAUCUCCAGGCAGGUGUCUCUUUUCUUUUAGUGCCAUUCCCCUCAGAGAUGAUCUCCAGGCAGGUGUCUCUUUUCUUUUAGUGCCAUUCCCCUCAGAGAUGAUCUCCAGGCAGGUGUCUCUAUUCUUUUAGUGCCAUUUCCCUCCCAGGUCCUGAUCCCUUACGUUUGUAACGCCCCCGAGGAUUUGCAUGGGGAGGGAAUCACUUUUCCUGGCGUAGCUGAUGGAUGUAACAUCCCUGUUCUCUCUUCUCCAGGCAUUUCUCCUCCAUCAUCUCCCCCUUCCCUCAUUCCCUUUGGUUUCUCCUCCAAGCAGGUGUUCUAACCUCACACGUGCCCCCAGUACUGUCCCAUUUUUGAUACCCUCUUCCUGAGGGGUGUUCUGUGCUUUCCAGUAGGGCUCAGCUGGAGGGAAGCGGGUCAGAACCUUAUGGUGGCAUUUCCUGUGAUAAAUGGGGUCAUUUUUUAUCAUGUGUGGCCAAAGAAAUGUAGGUCUCUGAUCUGAAUGUCCAUCUUGGUAAGUUUGGGUAACUCAGUGCUCCCCGCCCAGACCUUUGUACUCUGAAAUGGUUUUAAACUGCCAGAGGGCAGGGUUAGAUGGGAUAUUGGGAAGAAAUUAUUCCUUGGGAGGGUGGAGAGGCCCUGGCACAGAUGAUUCCAUGGAUUCCCAUCCCUGGAAGUGUCCAAAGCCAGGUUGGAUGGGGCUGGGAGCACCCUGGGAUGGUGGAAGGUGACCCUGCCAUGGUAGGGUUGGGACUGGACAAGUUUUAAGGUCCCUCCCAACCCAAACCAUUCCAUGAGCCCACACUCUCUGCACACUUGCCAAUCCCAGGAUGCUCUCCCAUUGACUGGAUUUCUGCUCUCCAGUGGAAAACCAGUCCAUCUCCAUCUCUGGGGUUGGCUUGUUUGUUUUCCCCUUGUGGCAUCUGUGCAAAUGCUGGAGCUCAGCCUGAUAGGAAAACCAGGCCCUAGUGGUGCUGGAAGUUCUGCCCCCAUGUUCAUCGUGGCAAAAUUGUCAUUUCCAUCACAUCCAGGGGGAAAAGGCCAGAAAAUUAUUCUGAAAAAGAAAAAAAUACGCGGGCAGUGAGUGGGACACACCCAAAGGAAAAUUUGGUAGGAAUGGAGAGAGAAAGGGCAGAUUUUGAAAAAAAAUCACUCCUGCCAUCAGCAAAAGGAGAAUGGAAUAUCUUCAUUUGCAUUUUGGGACAGGGGCAGUAAUAAAGCUGUGACUCCAGCUCAGCUGUGGUUGCUCCGGGGAAGGGUUGGAGCUCCUCUUCCCUAACCAUGAGUGUGGAAGAGCUCAGGAGCAGAUCCUUGGUGUGACCAGGUGUGUUCUCCUCCUGUGUCUGGGAACCCCAGAGUGCCACAGCCUUCAGGUUCAGGUACCCCUGGGGUUCAGGGACACCUUGUGCCAGGGCAGGAGACCCCUGUGACCCCCCAAACUCAGGCACCAGAGUUGUCACUGCCUGUGUGGGACGAGCUCUGUUCAUCACCUCACCUGUGUGAGGACACAGAGCUCCCAGUCUCUCUCAGCUGCAUUUUUGGUCUCCCUUGGCUUCUUUUGCAGCUCCUUUUUGGCUUUUCCAGAACUUCCAUGGGUUCCAUAAUCUUCCCAAACCUUCAGCUCCCCUUUUAUCUCGCCAGGUCGCCCUCAGGUGUGCUGCGCACGAGGUGAGGAGGCAUGAGGAUUUCUGUCCUUCCUGCAAGAAGAGAAAUUCUCAUUUGGAAAGGAAAAAAAACCAUCUGCCAAACCUGCAGGAAGGGGAAGGUGGGGAAAAUGGAGGAAUUAGUGCCAUUCCCUGCAGGACACAAACCUGAGUUGUGUUUACACCUGUCCUGUCACUGCUGCAGGACGUUGUUCCCAGUGAGGGAACUCCUGGGUUUUUGGCAAUGACCACGUGUGCAAACACAGAUCAAAAGCAGUUCCAUGCUAAUUAUCCCACACUCCCCAUCAGAAUCAGGAAGAUUUUGCUUUCUACCCCGGAAUAUUCCAGAUUCCCAACAAAAAGGAUGUUUGGUAUGCCCUGCACUGAAGAGGGAGCUUGCAUGGAAUCUCAUAUUUAUCCCUCCAGACCUCAGGUAGCAUCAGGUUCCCAGGAAUGAAUCCCCAUCUGGAGGGGCAGGGAAUUUGUCUCUGAGAUCCCCAAAUCCGACCCUGUGGGACCAACGAAAAUUCUGGAAUGAUCCAUGGCAGCCCUAGAACUGACAGAAAUGGUGGAAUGCUCCCCCUGGCAGCUCCAGAACUGGCAAAAAGGGUGGAAUUCUACCAUGGCAACUCUAGGAACAAAUAAAACCAGUGGGAUGAUCCCAUGGCAACCCUAGAACCAACAGGAACAAUGGAAUGAUCCCAUGGCAACCCUAGAAUUGGCAAAAAAUGGUGGAAUGUUCCUCAGGCAACCCUAGAGCCAACAAAGAUGGUGGAAUGAUCCUGUGGUGACCCCAGAACCCACAGAAAUGGUAAAAUGCUCUUCUGGAAAUCCUAGAACUGACAAAAAUGGUGGAAUGCUCCUCUGGUAUCUCUAGAACCAACAAAAGAAAGUGGAAUGCUCCACUGGAAAUCCUAGAACCAAUAAAAAGGGUGGAAUCCCACCCUGCCAACUCCAGAACUGGCAAAAAGGCUGGAAUUCUACCAUGGCAACCCUAGAAACAAAUAAAACCAGUGGGAUGAUCCCAUGGCAACCCUAGAACUGGCAAAAAAAUGGUGGAAUGUUCCUCAGGCAACCCUAGAGCCAACAAAAGCAAUGGGAUGCUUGUUUGACAACUCUAGAAUGAAGAAAAACUCUGGAAUGUUCCCCUGCCAUCCCUAGAACCAAGAAAAACUCUGGAAUGUUCCCCUGCCAUCCCUAAAAUCAACAACAACAAAAAAAAAAAAGGUGGAAUCCUCCCCUGGAAUCUCCUUUCCCAGGAGCUCUGGACUGUUCCUCCUGCCCAAUAAAACCCUGCGGGUUGGACACCUCUGCUUCCCCCUCGUUCACCACCUGCCCCAAACAGGGGCUGUGACAUGAGGGGACAGUUUGUGCCCCUGAUCCUUGAGGAAUUUUUCACCCUCGUGGAUUCCCAGAAGCACCCUGGAUCCAGCAGGGAUCAGGGUGGAGGAGGUGUUGGGCUCCCCCAGGAGCUCGCAGGGUUUGGGGUUCAGUUUUAUCCCUAAAUAAAUUCAUCAUUUCUGGCU